AAUGUGAUGAAUCAUAGUAAUCGAACGAAUCGCAGGUAUAUGCGAUAAGUCAUUCAAGUUUCUGCCCUAUCAGCUUUGGAUGGUAGUGUAUUGGACUACCAUGGCAGUCACGGGUAACGGAGAAUUAGGGUUCGAUUCCGGAGAGGGAGCCUGAGAAACGGCUACCACAUCUACGGAAGGCAGCAGGCGCGAAAAUUGCCCAAUCCUGACACGGGGAGGCAGUGACAAGAGAUAACAACUCUAGGUUUUCUUAGAAGUGUAAUGAGGAUAAUUUACAAACCUUACCAAAUGCAAUUGGAGGGCAAGUCUGGUGCCAGCAGCCGCGGUAAUUCCAGCUCCAAUAGCGUAUAUUAAAGUUGUUGCAGUUAAAAAGCUCGUAGUUGAAAUUCUGAUUGUUCGGGUUUUUAGCCUUUAGGCAGAAAUACUGACAGUCAUCCGCUUGCAAACAUAGCUUGAUCUUAACCGAUUAACUAUGUGAGUAAGCACUUUACCUUGAGAAAAACAGAGUGUUCCAGGCAGGUUUGUCCGGAAUGCAUUAGCAUGGAAUAAUAGAACAUGACUGAAGUCAAUUUAUUGGUUAAAGACUUUAGUAAUGAUUAAUAGGAACAGUCGGGGGCAUUCGUACUCAGCAGUCAGAGGUGAAAUUCUAAGAUUUGCUGAAGACGAACUAAUGCGAAAGCAUUUGCCAAGGAUGUUUUCAUUAAUCAAGAACGAAAGUUAGGGGAUCAAAGACGAUCAGAUACCGUCCUAGUCUUAACUAUAAACGAUACCGACUCGGAUUCAGAUGAAUCAAAAUGUUCAUUUGGGACCGUAGGAGAAAUCAAAGUCUUUGGGUUCUGGGGGGAGUAUGGUCGCGAGGCUGAAACUUAAAGGAAUUGACGGUUUUGCACCACCAUGGAGUGGAGUUUGCGGCUUAAUUUGACCCAACACUGGGAAACUCAUCAGGGCAAGAAGAUUUUAGGAUUGACAGAUUGAGAGUUCUUUCUUGAUUGGUCUAGUGGUGGUGCAUGGCCGUUCUUAGUUGGUGGAGUGAUUUGUCUGGUUAAUUCCGUUAACGAACGAGACCUUAACCUGCUAACUAGUGUUCUUAUUUCAAAUUUGAAUCACUUCUUAGAGGGACUAUGUGAUGUAAUCACAUGGAAGUUUGAGGCAAUAACAGGUCUGUGAUGCCCUUAGAUGUCCUGAGCUGCACGCGUACUACAAUGGCACUUUCAACGAGUUUUUCCUGAUCCGAAAGGAUUUGGGUAAUCUUUUUAGUGAGUGCCGUGAUUGGGAUAGAUCUUUGUAAUUAUGGAUCUUGAACUAGGAAUUCCU
rnacentral:rRNA from 1 species